rnacentral:rRNA from 1 species
UACAGAGGGUGCAAGCGUUAAUCGGAAUUACUGGGCGUAAAGCGUGCGUAGUCGGUUAUUUAAGUCGGACGUGAAAGCCCCGGGCUCAACCUGGGAAUUGCGUUCGAUACUGGAUAGCUAGAGUUCGGCAGAGGGAAGCGGAAUUUCGGGUGUAGCGGUGAAAUGCGUAGAUAUCCGAAGGAACAUCAGUGGCGAAAGCGGCUUCCUGGACCAGAACUGACGAUCAGGCACGAAAGCGUGGGGAGCAAACAGG